rnacentral:rRNA from 1 species
GUGGGGAAUCUUCCGCAAUGGACGAAAGUCUGACGGAGCAACGCCGCGUGAACGAUGACGGCCUUCGGGUUGUAAAGUUCUGUUAUACGGGACGAAUGGUACGACGGCCAAUACCCGUCUUAAGUGACGGUACCGUAAGAGAAAGCCACGGCUAACUACGUGCCAGCAGCCGCGGUAAUACGUAGGUGGCAAGCGUUGUCCGGAAUUAUUGGGCGUAAAGGGCGCGCAGGCGGCGUCGUAAGUCGGUCUUAAAAGUGCGGGGCUUAACCCCGUGAGGGGACCGAAACUGCGAUGCUAGAGUAUCGGAGAGGAAAGCGGAAUUCCUAGUGUAGCGGUGAAAUGCGUAGAUAUUAGGAGGAACACCAGUGGCGAAAGCGGCUUUCUGGACGACAACUGACGCUGAGGCGCGAAAGCCAGGGGAGCAAACGGGAUUAGAAACCCCGGUAGUCC